rnacentral:rRNA from 1 species
CAGCCGUAAACAAUGUGCGUUAGGUAUGUCGGUAACCACGUGUUACUGAUGUGCCGAAGAGAAAUCGUGAAACACACCACCUGGGAAGUACGGUCGCAAGGCUGAAACUUAAAGGAAUUGGCGGGGGGAGGCACCACAACAGGUGGAGCCUGCGGUUUAAUUGGAUUCAACGCCGGACAUCUCACCGGAUAAGACAGCUGAAUGAUUGUCAAUCUGAAGGUUUUACAUGACUAGCUGAGAGGAGGUGCAUGGCGUCAGUGACU